AGUGAACGCUGGCGGUAGGCCUAACACAUGCAAGUCGAACGGCAGCACAGUAAGAGCUUGCUCUUACGGGUGGCGAGUGGCGGACGGGUGAGGAAUACAUCGGAAUCUACUUUUUCGUGGGGGAUAACGUAGGGAAACUUACGCUAAUACCGCAUACGACCUACGGGUGAAAGCAGGGGAUCUUCGGACCUUGCGCGAUUGAAUGAGCCGAUGUCGGAUUAGCUAGUUGGCGGGGUAAAGGCCCACCAAGGCGACGAUCCGUAGCUGGUCUGAGAGGAUGAUCAGCCACACUGGAACUGAGACACGGUCCAGACUCCUACGGGAGGCAGCAGUGGGGAAUAUUGGACAAUGGGCGCAAGCCUGAUCCAGCCAUACCGCGUGGGUGAAGAAGGCCUUCGGGUUGUAAAGCCCUUUUGCUGGGAAAGAAAGGCAGCAGGUUAAUACCCCGCUGUUCUGACGGUACCCAAAGAAUAAGCACCGGCUAACUUCGUG
rnacentral:rRNA from 1 species